AUUGAACGCUGGCGGCAUGCUUUACACAUGCAAGUCGAACGGUAACAGGUUAAGCUGACGAGUGGCGAACGGGUGAGUAAUGCAUCGGAACGUGCCCGGUCGUGGGGGAUAACGCAGCGAAAGCUGCGCUAAUACCGCAUACGAACUGAGGAUGAAAGCGGGGGACCGUAAGGCCUCGCGCGAUCGGAGCGGCCGAUGUCAGAUUGGGGAGUUGGGGGGGUAAAGGCUCACCAAGCCAACGAUCUGGAGCGGGUCUGAGAGGACGACCAGCCACACGGGGAGUGAGACACGGCCCAGACUCCUACGGGAGGCAGCGGUGGGGAAUUUUGGACAAUGGGCGAAAGCCUGAUCUAGCAAUGCCGCGUGCAGGAAGAAGGCCUUCGGGUUGGAAACUGCUUUUGUACGGAGCGAAAAGGUCUCCUCUAAUACAGGGGGCUCAUGACGGUACCGUAAGAAGAAGCACCGGCUAACUACGUGCCAGCAGCCGCAGUAA
rnacentral:rRNA from 1 species